AUUAAUUAUGAAGAUGUUAAGUGCUGAUUUCAUGAUGUGUGACUUCAAAUGAAUUUGAACGGGUGAAUGAUCAGAAAGAUUUCACUGCAAGACCUAUUUGUUUCUUGGUUACUAUCUUCUGUUCCUCGAAUUCAUACAUUAUUAAAUCAGUCACAUUGGAGCCUAUUAUAGAUCCAGUGUCACUAUGGAGGAAGAGUGGCUGAUGAUCUCACUUUAUUCUGUUUAUUUGGAUCUAUUGGCCAUUUUCCACCUGCUGGUGACCCAACUCCCAAGUUGAUUAAUUCUGGCAUGAGUGAACUUGUGCUGUUUGCCUGGAAUUGUUGCUGAGAGCAAGUAAGGAUCACUCUUUGUAGAAAUUCAUCCUUGUGAGAAAAAAAACAACAACAGUCACUGUGAGAGAGAAAAUUGGCGGAUCAGUUUAAUCCAGCCAAUGGAUGAAUCCAUGCAAUGACUACGUGGCCCCCUGAUUACUUUGCACCAUGAGAACGCUGCAAUAUUAGAUUGUUUUAUUGUCUAGGCCAGGGAUCUCCAAACUUGGUCACUUUUAAGACUUCGUCUCCCAGAAUUCCUCAGCCAAAAUGGAAUUCUUGAGUUGAAGUUCACAAAUCUUAAAAGUUGCCAUGUUUGGAAACCCCUGGCCUAGCCUAAUGCAGUAAAUAAAACAUCUUUGCUUCAUUUAAAGGUAUGUCACCAAUAGAUGGGAAGCAGAUUUUUCCCCAAAAAAAGUUAAUUAUUUAAGGAUGCAGACUUGAAACAAAAAGUACAGCGAUGACAGCGGAAAAGAUGUAUUUCCUUCUCUCAGAAGAGGGAAUAAUGCUUAAGACCAUGCUUGCUGUGACCUCGCUAGAUUUUUUUUUAAAGAUAGCAGACACACACACACACACACACACACCCCUGAAGUUUCUGGAUGUUUGUCCCAUCUUCAGUGAUGCUUUCCUCUGUUGUAACUUUAUUUUGAAAACGACACCCCUGCUCUAAGGCAAGGAUAAGCUACCAUGACCCACCCAGAUGUCAUUAGACCGCAACUCCCAUUAUCUCUGCCUAUUGGUCUUGUUAUCUGAAGCUGAUGGGGGUUGGAGAUUUCUACUGUUCUAAAAUUCUUGCUUCUCUAAAAUAUUUGCCUCUGGUUCCUUUAGGAAGUCUUCCAAGAGUGAUUCAUGUGCUACCUCAAAAACAGAAUGACUGAAUUGUGCUAGCUUCCCUAGUGGGGAGACCACAUCGAUGUGGCAAUUUUGCACAUGGAUUUUAUUGUUCAGGCAUAAUUGGGAGUGGGAAGUGACAUAGCCUCAGGGAAUGUGGCAAUUAUACUUGUUUUUAAUGUAGGCUUCACUUCUAGAAGAAUAUCUGAGAAGAAUAUGUUCGUCCUACUGGAUUUUGGCCUAUAAAAUGACUUAAUAGAAUUUAGUUCAGUUCUUGGACUCACCUAUAUUUUCAAAUCUGGGAAGCGACUUAAUUCUCUUAAUAAAUUGGCAACUUAUCAAAAUUGACUGGAUUUA
rnacentral:lncRNA from 1 species